CUCUAUCUGCAGUGCACAUUCUGCACUAUAGAAGAUCCACUCCUGUUAAGCACUGCUUAUUUGCAAAAUCUUAUCCGGCAAAACCAAUAUCUGGAUCACAAGCACCUAUUGAUUUUAGAUUCUCUAAAUCUCAAAUUUAAGACAAUGGCACAUAUAAAUUGAAUCGCAUCCUUACUUGAAAAUAUAUAAUAUCCGUUCUCUCUCCA
rnacentral:lncRNA from 1 species